rnacentral:rRNA from 1 species
GUCUAUGGCCAUACCACCCUGAUCGCGCCCGAUCUCAUCUGAUCUCAGAAGCUAAGCAGGGUCGGGCCUGGUCAGUACUUGGAUGGGAGACAGAAAUGUCUGGGCUUUAGUAC